ACGAACGCUGGCGGCGUGCUUAACACAUGCAAGUCGAACGGUAAGGCCCCUUCGGGGGUACACGAGUGGCGAACGGGUGAGUAACACGUGGGUAAUCUGCCCUGCACUUCGGGAUAAGCCUGGGAAACUGGGUCUAAUACCGGAUAUGAACUCCUGCCGCAUGGUGGGGGUUGGAAAGUUUUUCGGUGCAGGAUGAGCCCGCGGCCUAUCAGCUUGUUGGUGGGGUAAUGGCCUACCAAGGCGACGACGGGUAGCCGGCCUGAGAGGGUGAUCGGCCACACUGGGACUGAGACACGGCCCAGACUCCUACGGGAGGCAGCAGUGGGGAAUAUUGCACAAUGGGCGAAAGCCUGAUGCAGCGACGCCGCGUGGGGGAUGACGGUCUUCGGAUUGUAAACCCCUUUCAGUAGGGACGAAGCGCAAGUGACGGUACCUGCAGAAGAAGCACCGGCUAACUACGU
rnacentral:rRNA from 1 species